UAGCUCAGAGGAUUAGAGCAUGUGGCUACGAACCAUGGUGUCGGUGGUUCGAAUCCACU
rnacentral:tRNA from 1 species